rnacentral:rRNA from 1 species
AACGAACGCUGGCGGCAGGCCUAACACAUGCAAGUCGAACGCCCCGCAAGGGGAGUGGCGCACGGGUGAGUAACGCGUGGGAAUAUGCCCCUCGGUUCGGAAUAACACAGGGAAACUUGUGCUAAUACCGGAUACGAUCUACGGAUGAAAGAUUUAUCGCCGAGGGAGUAGCCCGCGUAGGAUUAGCUAGUUGGUGAGGUAAUGGCUCACCAAGGCGACGAUCCUUAGCUGGCCUGAGAGGAUGAUCAGCCACACUGGGACUGAGACACGGCCCAGACUCCUACGGGAGGCAGCAGUGGGGAAUAUUGGACAAUGGGCGAAAGCCUGAUCCAGCCAUGCCGCGUGAGUGAUGAAGGCCUUAGGGUUGUAAAGCUCUUUCGCCAGGGAAGAUAAUGACGGUACCUGGAAAAGAAGCCUCGGCUAACUCCGUGCCAGCAGCCGCGGUAA